rnacentral:lncRNA from 1 species
AUAACCAUGUAUGCCACCAUAACCAUCCUAGCCCUAACUUCCUUAAUUCCCCCGAUCAUUGCCACCUUCAUCAACCCUAACAAAAAGAGUUCAUACCCCCACUAUGUAAAAUCAAUUAUUGCAUCCGCCUUUAUUAUUAGCCUCCUCCCCACAACAAUAUUCAUAUGCCUAGACCAAGAAGUUAUUAUCUCAAACUGACACUGAGCAACAACCCAAACAAUACAACUCUCGCUAAGCUUUAAACUAGACUAUUUCUCCAUAAUAUUAAUCCCUGUAGCACUAUUCGUCACAUGAUCCAUCAUAGAAUUCUCACUAUGGUAUAUAAGCUCAGACCCAAACAUUAAUCAAUUUUUCAAGUAUCUGCUUAUUUUCCUAAUCACCAUACUAAUCCUAGUUACAGCUAACAACCUAUUCCAACUCUUCAUCGGCUGAGAGGGCGUAGGGAUUAUAUCCUUCUUACUCAUUAGCUGGUGGUAUGCUCGAACAGAUGCCAACACAGCAGCCGUCCAAGCAAUCCUAUACAACCAUAUUGGUGACAUCAGCUUCAUCCUAGCCCUAGCAUGAUUUUUCCUACACUCCAACUCAUGAGAACCACAACAAAUAUUCCUCUUAAGUGCUAACCCCAACCUUAUCCCACUACUAGGUUUCCUCCUAGCAGCAGCAGGAAAAUCAGCUCAACUAGGCCUUCACCCCUGACUCCCCUCAGCCAUGGAAGGCCCUACCCCUGUCUCAGCCCUACUCCACUCAAGCACCAUAGUUGUAGCUGGGGUCUUUCUACUCAUCCGCUUCCACCCCCUAGCAGAAAAUAGCCCGCCAACCCAAACCCUCACACUAUGUUUAGGCGCUAUAACUACCCUACUCGCAGCAGUCUGCGCCCUCACACAAAAUGAUAUCAAAAAAAUCGUGGCCUUCUCUACUUCAAGCCAAUUGGGACUCAUAAUAGUCACAAUCGGCAUCAACCAGCCAUACCUAGCAUUCCUACACAUCUGUACCCACGCCUUCUUCAAAGCCAUGCUAUUUGUAUGCUCCGGAUCCAUUAUCCAUAACCUCAACAAUGAACAAGACAUUCGAAAAAUAGGAGGACUACUCAAAACUAUACCCCUCACUUCAACCUCCCUCACCAUUGGCAGCCUAGCACUUGCAGGAAUACCCUUUCUCACAGGUUUCUACUCCAAAGACCUCAUCAUCGAAACCACAAACAUAUCAUACACCAACGCCUGAGCCCUAUCUAUUACUCUCAUCACCACCUCCCUGACAAGUGCCUACAGCACUCGAAUAAUUCUUCUCACCCUAACAGGCCAACCUCGUUUCCCAACCCUUAACAAUAUCAACGAAAACUGCCCCACCCUAUUAAACCCCAUUAAAUGCCUAACAAUCGGAAGUCUUUUCGCAGGAUUUCUCAUCACCAACAGCAUUUUCCCCGCAUCCACUCCCCAAAUAACAAUCCCACUUUACGUAAAACUCACAGCCCUAGGCAUCACCUCCCUAGGACUCCUUACAGCCCUAGACCUCAACUACCUAACCAACAAACUCAAAAUAAAAACCCCACUAUAUACAUUUUACUUUUCUAAUAUACUCGGAUUCUACCCCAGUAUUACUCAUCACACAAUCCCUUACCUAAGCCUUCUUGCAAGCCAAAAUUUACCCCUACUUCUUCUAGACCUAACUUGACUAGAGAAACUGUUACCUAAAACAAUUUCACAAUACCAAAUCUCGGCCUCCAUCACCACCUCAACUCAAAAAGGCAUAAUCAAACUUUAUUUCCUCUCUUUUUUCUUCCCACUCCUCCUAACCCUUCUUCUAAUCACA